CUUUGAUUUAAAAUGUCAUACUAAGUGAGGAAUUUGAAAGCAAUCCAUGCAGUAGCAAUGCUUCUCUUUGUUUCAUACUUACACUUACUUUUUCUAUCACUUGUGCAGGUCUGUGCUAUUCAGUGAAGCAUGUUGAGCAUACUAAAGGUUAACCUCAGGAAUAAAUCUGUUGCUGAAUAAGGGAGAUGAUCUGAACCACAGCCAAAACCUUGUGAUUUGCAAAUCCACCCUUUACCUGAGUCUUAAAUUAUUUCUGUGUGCUGGGAAUUCUUUUCUGGAAGAUGGAGCAGAACCACAUUUUCUGCCUUGGUGACCCAGCAGCCUUUUGAGCAAAACAAUGGAAAGAGCCCAUCCUAGACUCCCUACAGGCAGCAGUCUUCACUUCUUGAAGAUGUUUUCUGUGUGAGCAGUGAGACUGAAGAUUAUUUGUGACCUUCCAUAAAGACCAGAAAACAGUCUGUGGUUGGAAAUAUCAAUGUCAAACAGGUUCAAACUGAAGUUCAAAAGCUCUUAGAAACCCUGCUGGAGACAAAUCCUGGGCUCGGUGCACAUUUGGUGUGAUCAGCUGUGGCUCUCAGUAUUCUAACACUCAUCAUGUGCCUCACUGGUGUCAGGAGAGAUUUGGGCUGUGUACUAAUGGCUGUGGAGCUUGAUGGGCAUGUUGGUGGGAGUUGACUGAACGGAUUUAGCAGGUGAUGAAGUCAGCUUCCUCUAGACUCACCUUAGUUGCUUCCCCUCCUUGAUGAACCUUUUCCUUUAAGUCACCCUGGGAAGCAGCACUACUGGGAAGCAGCUCCUCCUGCAAGAGAUGAGCAUUCAUGUCAUGACACUGCUGAGGAUUCACAGUACAUCUACACAGGUGCCCUCAGUCCACCAAGGUGUCCCCUCGAGUCUGAAGCUCCUGAGUGGCUGGAGUUGGCUCCUUACUACUUUAAUUCUCUCUCAUUUUCUGUGUCUUAGACACAGGGCACUGUGUCCUAGCACUGAGGGGAGUGGCAGGAGUUACAGCACCAAAACAAAGCCUGCAUCCUAUUGUGAUCACAGGCCCUGAAAAACGUUCAGCUAUGGUUUGUCCCUUUGUUUUGGACCUGCCAAUCACAUUGUGGGACCGAGAUGCCUUGGGACAAUGGGGACUUGGUCUUACUACAAAUUUGUCCUAAGGGCCACUGAACAGCAGCUGGUCCCUGCCCUAACCUGGACGACAGAUAAGCUGGUUUGAGUGGACCAGUGGCUGAUUAGAAAGGACAAGCUGCAACACCUUCAAGCCCUCGUUCAAGAACAACUUUUAGCAAGACAUAUUUGUGCUUCUACCAGUCCCUGGAAUUCCCCAGUGUUUGUGAUCCAAAAAAGAAGUGGCAAGUGGCCACUUGCCACUCUGGAACAGGGAUUUGAAUCACAUUUUCCCAGAUGCCUUAGCCACUACCAAAUAGGUUUGCAAUGCUUCUUUGUCUGGUUCAGAGUCUGUUUUGUUACUCAGACCAUGUCGAAAUGCCCUGGCAGGAAGAGAGCCUGGCUCUCAGUCCAGGACUAACAGUCACCGGGUGCUCAGGGUUCUCUGCUGGUAAGGAAGAUCAUUCUCUGACUGAGAAGAAUCUGCUGAUUAUUCUGAAAUCCUCUCCCAUUGCAGCAGACAUGUGACUCCAUUGAAAAGUUCACAUCUGAGAAGACCCUGGGGAAGAAAUACAGAGGUGCCUAAAGCCCUGCUCCAUCCACUAACAUCUCAUUUCUUACCUAAUCUCUUUGGUACCCUUUUCUAGAAAUCUAAUUCUCUGCACAGGUUCUUGGGGAAACCUUUCUUUAGCAAAGACAGCCAAUGAUCCAAAGUCUGUGAUGCUGACCCUAAAUAUGUUUUUUCAGAUGUUGCUGAUGAGCUUUCCUAUCUUCUUCAUGUGCUGCUCAUUG